GGAUAACCUACCCUUAGGACCGGGAUAACCCUGGGAAACUGGGGCUAAUACUGGAUAGGCAAUUAUUCCUGCAAUGGUUUUUUGUUUAAAUGUUUUUUCGCCUAAGGAUGGGUCUGCGGCCGAUUAGGUAGUUGGUUAGGUAAUGGCUUACCAAGCCGUUGAUCGGUACGGGUUGUGAGAGCAAGAGCCCGGAGAUGGAACCUGAGACAAGGUUCCAGGCCCUACGGGGUGCAGCAGGCGCGAAACCUCCGCAAUGUGAGAAAUCGCGACGGGGGGAUCCCAAGUGCCAUUCUUAACGGGAUGGCUUUUCAUUAGUGUAAAGAGCUUUUGGAAUAAGAGCUGGGCAAGACCGGUGCCAGCCGCCGCGGUAACACCGGCAGCUCUAGUGGUAACAAUUUUUAUUGGGCCUAAAGCGUCCGUAGCCGGUUUAAUAAGUCUCUGGUGAAACCCUGUAGCUUAACUGUGGGAAUUGCUGGAGAUACUAUUAGACUUGAGACCGGGAGAGGUUAGAGGUACUCCCAGGGUAGAGGUGAAAUUCUGUAAUCCUGGGAGGACCGCCUGUUGCGAAGGCGUCUAACUGGAACGGUUCUGACGGUGAGGGACGAAAGUUAGGGGCGCGAACCGGAUUAGAUACCCGGGUAGUCCUAACUGUAAACGAUGCGGACUUGGUGUUGGGGUGGCUUUGAGCUGCUCCAGUGCCGAAGGAAGCUGUUAAGUCCGCCGCCUGGGAAGUACGGUCGCAAGACUGAAACUUAA
rnacentral:rRNA from 1 species